UACGGGGGGAGCAAGCGUUGUUCGGAUUUACUGGGCGUAAAGGGCGUGUAGGCGGCCACCGCAGGUCGGUUGUGAAAUCUCCGGGCUUAACCCGGAAAUGGCAUUGGAAACUGCAUGGCUAGAGGGUUGGAGGGGGGACUGGAAUACUUGGUGUAGCAGUGAAAUGCGUAGAUAUCAAGUGGAACACCAGUGGCGAAGGCGAGUCCCUGGACAACACCUGACACUGAGGCACGAAAGCUAGGGGAGCAAACAGG
rnacentral:rRNA from 1 species